UGACAUACCUAUACGUUGCCUCGGCGGAUCAGCCCGCGCCCCGUAAAAAGGGACGGCCCGCCCGAGGACCCCUAAACUCUGUUUUUAGUGGAACUUCUGAGUAAAACAAACAAAUAAAUCAAAACUUUCAACAACGGAUCUCUUGGUUCUGGCAUCGAUGAAGAACGCAGCAAAAUGCGAUAAGUAAUGUGAAUUGCAGAAUUCAGUGAAUCAUCGAAUCUUUGAACGCACAUUGCGCCCGCCAGUAUUCUGGCGGGCAUGCCUGUUCGAGCGUCAUUUCAACCCUCAAGCUCAGCUUGGUGUUGGGACUCGCGGUAACCCGCGUUCCCCAAAUCGAUUGGCGGUCACGUCGAGCUUCCAUAGCGUAGUAAUCAUACACCUCGUUACUGGUAAUCGUCGCGGCCACGCCGUAAAACCCCAACUUCUGAAUGUUGACCUCGGAUCAGGUAGGAAUACCCGCUGAACUUAAGCAUAUCAA
rnacentral:rRNA from 1 species